GGUAAUCACGCCCAGGUGUGUUCAGGUGUUCUCAGGUGUGUAUAUCAUUGUUUCGAGCAGGUAAGCGGUGCGGACCGCGGGCAGCCUGGCUGUGGAUCAAAGCGGUGGAAGAAGAAGGAGCCGGGGAAGGAGAGAUGAAGUCUAGAUACUCAGAACUCUGUCGACGUCUUCCUGCUCAGAGCUGCUGGUUGAGUGUGUGAAGAACAAGGACUUAAAGAAGG